rnacentral:tRNA from 1 species
GGGGCUGUAGCUCAGUGGUAGAGCACUUGCUUUGCACGUGUGAGGCACUGGGUUCAAUCCUCAGCACCA